rnacentral:lncRNA from 1 species
GCCACGUGUGUGUUAAAAGGGGGUCAGUUCAUGCUUGUGUGUCUGCCUCUCAGCUAUUCUUCAAGCUCCCAAGGUUUGGCUCAGGGUUGUAAAAUAAUAUUAAGUUCUGACAGUGUAAGAAGUGUGCCCGGAAAAAAAAUAACCAGAGCAGGAAGGAGAAGAAAAGCAUGAGAAGAGUGCAGAUGAGUUUUGCAGCUGGUUUUGCAUUAGAAGGGGAACAUUAGCAUUAGACACAGGAAAACGUCGGCUGCGGAGCCCAAGUUUCCUUCACACAAAGGUCACCAGCUCUUCACUGUGAAUAAACUCAUGUUGCAGACGGAGUCUCGCUUUGUUGCCCAGGCUGGAGUGCAGUGGUGCGAUCUCGGCUCAUUGCAAGCUCCGCCUCCCGGGUUCACGCCAUUCUCCUGCCUCAGCCUCCCAAGAAGCUGGAACUACAGGCACCCGCCACAACGCCCAGCUAAUUUUUUGUAUUUUUAGUGGAGACGGGGUUUCACCGUGUUAGCCAGGAUGGUCUCGAUCUCCUGACCUCGUGAUCCUCCUGCCUCGGCCUCCCAAAGUGCUGGGAUUACAGGCGUGAGCCACCGUGCCCGGGUGACAUUUUCUUUAAUGCACAGAAACCAUAAAAAUAAUCACAUGCAAAUUAUAGAACUAAAAUAAAACAACUGACAUAAACCAUCAGUGGGUGUGUUUCAGAGAACUUUGCACAUAGCUUUAGAGAAUUGGUGAAAUUAAAGCUAAAUCUAUAGCAGAUAUACAGGCUGAAAUCCAGAGAGAAAUUGAUGGAAAAUACAAAAAAGAAAAAAGAAUAUAUGAGCAGAAAAAGAAGAAAAAAAAAAAAACUAACAUGCAAGUAAUUGAAAUUCCAGAAAGAAAAAAAAAGGGCCAAAAAUCAAUAUCUGAAGACACAAUGUAUGCCAGUUUUCCAAACCAAUAAAAUAUAUCCCAAGAAAGAAAAAACACAAAUAAAAUUCCAUGUAAGCCCAUCGUAGCCAGACUUCAGAAAAACAAAAAAAUUCCUAAAAUCUGCCAGAGAGAAAAAAAUGCACAUUGCCUUUAAUACAGCAACAAUAAGAGCAGUAGGGAAGACAGAAGACCAGAAGGAUGUUAUUAAAAAGUAACUGCCAACCUAGAAUUCUAUAACAAUAAAAAUGUCUCCAAAAAAUGAAAAUGAGGAUAUAUACUAGGACAAAUGGUCACUGAAAUCAUUAUAGAUAAACAAAGCUGAGUUAAUUUGUCACCAGCAGAAACCCACUUAAGGAAAUACUAGACGGGAUUACGUAGGA